rnacentral:rRNA from 1 species
UCUAGCAUGUGCGCGAGUCAUUGGGACUUUUUUUUCAGGAAAGCCCAGAGGCGCAAUGAAAGUGAAGAUCGGCCUUUUCGGCUUGAUCGAGGGAGGAUGGCUCAUUGUUAUUUUUUUAUAAUGACGGGCUCGCACUCCCGGGGCGUCUCGCGCUCAUUUCGAGCGGAGGCGCACCCAGAGCGUACACGCUGGGACCCGAAAGAUGGUGAACUAUGCCUGGUCAGGACGAAGUCAGGGGAAACCCUGAUGGAGGUCCGUAGCGAUUCUGACGUGCAAAUCGAUCGUCGGAACUGGGUAUAGGGGCGAAAGACUAAUCGAACCAUC